rnacentral:sRNA from 1 species
CUACUUUGGAAAUAACUGCAGAGAAUCUAAAUAUAUCACAUCGCCCUUCACCUUUUCAAUUCCAAGAAAUCUUCCAGAGUUGAUCAAAAAACUUCAUGCCAUAAAUACAAAAGAUACAGAGAUGUUUAGUAACAAGUUGCCAAUGUUACGUGAGAACAUUGCUCAGCUACCUGGUGGAAGUGAACUGCUGGUUGCAAUAGAAUCGUCGUCUCUUUUCGAGCAAGAGAAUCCUGAUUGGCUAGAUGAAUUUUUUGGGACAGCUACGCCCAUCUCCAUAGAGCCA